rnacentral:lncRNA from 1 species
CAAAAAGUUACUAAGGAAGAUGGAUAAUUAUGGCAUAAGGGGAAAUACCUGGAAUUGGGUAUCAGCCUUCCUUAGUAACAGAACGCAACAGGUUGCCCUUGACGGAGAGGUAUCUAGUCAAAUGCCUGUGGUAAGUGGGGUGCCCCAAGGCUCGGUUUUGGGUCCACUACUUUUUCUCAUCUUCAUUAAUGACCUACCUGCAGCAGUAACAUCAAAAACACGCUUGUUUGCAGAUGAUUGUAUCUUAUACAGAAACAUAACAAACCAACAAGAUUGUACCAUACUACAAAAUGAUCUAAACUGCCUAGCCAAUUGGGAAAAAACUUGGGGUAUGCAAUUCCAUCCUGAAAAAUGCAACUCCCUCACUGUAACAAGAUCACAGUCACCAUUCAAACAUGAUUAUGUAUUAAAAGGCCACAUCUUAGAAUCCGUCAGCACUGCAAAAUAUCUUGGUAUCACCCUUUCUCACAACAUGUCUUGGGAUACACACAUAAAUAAUAUUACUUCAAAAGCAAAUAAGAUCUUAGGCUUUCUAAAAAGAAACUUGAAAAUAAACCAGGAAGAAACUAAAAGUUUGGCAUACAAAUCCAUGGUACGUUCUAAUUUAGAAUACUGCUCUUCAGUUUGGUCACCUCACACCCAAAAACAAAAAAACAACAUUGAAAAAGUACAAAGAAGGGCAGCACGCUAUGUCACCAACAGAUACCACAACACCAGUAGUGUUACUUCCAUGAUUGACCAUCUUCAAUGGAAGUCACUUGAAACUCGCAGAAACAUCAAUCGAGUCACUAUGCUUUACAAAAUCUCUCACCAUCUCAUUGCAGUAGACCCAAACCUUUACCUUGUACCACAGCCAGUCAAAAACACCAGAUUCACUAAUCCAUUACAAUACCAGACAUUUAGCACAAGAACAGACUAUUUCAAGUACAGCUUUUUUCCAUUCACUGUUGUACUGUGGAACUCACUCCCACAAAACAUCAUCAGCGUUAACUCCCUGGAUCAGUUUAAAAUACUGAUCCAGAGUCAGUAUAUUUAGAUAUCUAACC